rnacentral:tRNA from 1 species
AGGGAUUUAGCUCAGUGGUGUAAGUGCCUGCCUGGUAAGCAUGAAAUCAUGAGUUCAAUCCCUG